rnacentral:lncRNA from 1 species
AUUUUUAUAUUAUUUAAAGUCGUAUUUAAAUAUAUUUAUUUUAAUGAUGAUAUAUAAUUUACUAUCAUAUUUUAAAAAGUUUAUCAAAAAUAUAAAUAAAUAUUAAAUGUAAUUGUUCAUGUUACAUUGAAGAUUAAAUUUAUCGGUAUCAGUGAGUAUAUAAUACUACUACCAAUGGGUUACGGCAAUUGAAAAGUUUACCAAAAACACCUAAUAAGUAAUUGAACAAUGCUAAUCAAGAAAUAAAUAUCGUAAAUAUUCACUUAGUCAUUCUUAUCUACCUAACUCAUAGAUCACAAAACGACUACUCACUCAUCUUCAUGACAAUCAUUAAACUUGCUUUAAAGAUCCAAGAGAUUCAAGUUUCACAAGUUUUUAAGAGAGAAAAUGAAAUAGAUCUAGGUUUUUAUUAGAAAAAAUAUAUAGAAGGCUAAAACAAACACAAACUCCAUUUUUUGAAACGCAAACGUCAAAAGCAGCGACCUUAUUUUGACUGCGUUUGCCACUGAUGGACCAGCGAUCGACCGUAUAAAAUUGUGCAGAUUGAUCUGUCGAUCGAUCGACCAUAUCACGCUAUGGUAUGCCGUUUACCUCAAAUUCUUCAUCCUCGACAUGAAUCCGACGUGGUGGCCAGCUGGUCGUCCUCGCUUCAGUCUUCUCGUAGAAAGCUCGAGCAACAAUGGUGAGUUUUCUCCUUUUUGCGCGUUUGGUCCUUCAACUCUUUUGUUAUUCUCAAUUUAACCCCUAACUAUAAAAUUGUGCAGAUCGAUCUUCGAAUUCAGCCUCAAACUUUCGAGUUAGAACUCUAGCCCAAGUCCCCUUGCAUUUAGCUCUGACCCCAAUUUGGCUCCAAACUCAUGAAAUUGCAGAUAUCCUCUUAGUUUGACCCCAAACUUCCAAAAGUGCAAUCUAGACCAUGUCAAAUGUAAAUUAACAAAUAUAUGCACCAAAAUUUUAUAAUUGCAAUCUAAAUGAUUAAAAUGGGCUAAAUGAGAUGCUAAAUAUUAUUAAAAUCAUAACAUAUCAGUCAUGUUAAGUAUAACAGUGUUUAACAUGUUUUGAAAAUUAGUAUAUAAUAGAGAAAUAGUUUGAACAACUGAUUUACAAUGUUCUGAAAAUUGGUUUAUAACAGAAAUAUACUUUGAACAACUGAUUCAAAUUUGAAAAUCGUUAUAUAACAAAGCAAUAUGAUGACCAAUUGCUUAUAUUGUUAAUAAGAGUUCAAAAUUACAUAAUUUGUAAUUAGAUUAAGAAGAAACAUAAACUUAAUAAGUUUGGAAUUGCAUAAUUUGAUUAAGAAGAAAUAUAAACUUAAAGUAUAUUGUCUUUGGGUUUUCGUGACAAUAACAAUCCACAUAAAAUGAUGCAGGUGUCCGAGCCACAAAACCCAAAGGAAUGUUGAACAUGUCCAAUACCAUGUAGACCGAAGAACGUUCUGAAAUCUCAUUGAGUCGCUUGCAUGUCAGUUAGACAGUGGCAAGAUCUGUGAUGGAGUUUCUGGAACACUUUCUUUGUAGUUCAUAUGGUAACAAAAACAAACUUGAAUCUGCCAACAAAAUAAACUUUUGUCACAAAAAAAAGAAUGAGACAACGAAGAGAAUUGUUAUCUUUU